AUUGAACGCUGGCGGCAGGCUUAACACAUGCAAGUCGAGCGGGGUGAAGUGCUUCGGUACUGAUCCUAGCGGCGGACGGGUGAGUAAUGCUUAGGAAUCUGCCAUUUAGUGGGGGACAACAUUCCGAAAGGAAUGCUAAUACCGCAUACGUCCUACGGGAGAAAGCAGGGGAUCUUCGGACCUUGCGCUAAAUGAUGAGCCUAAGUCGGAUUAGCUAGUUGGUGGGGUAAAGGCCUACCAAGGCGACGAUCUGUAGCGGGUCUGAGAGGAUGAUCCGCCACACUGGGACUGAGACACGGCCCAGACUCCUACGGGAGGUAGCAGUGGGGAAUAUUGGACAAUGGGCGGAAGCCUGAUCCAGCCAUGCCGAGUGUGUGAAGAAGGCCUUUUGGUUGUAAAGCACUUUAAGCGAGGAGGAGGCUACCUAGAUUAAUACUCUGGGAUAGUGGACGUUACUCGCAGAAUAAGCACCGGCUAACUCUGUGCCAGCAGCCGCCGUAAGAC
rnacentral:rRNA from 1 species